GAUGAACGCUGGCGGCGUGCUUAACACAUGCAAGUCGAACGAUGAAGCUCAGCUUGCUGGGUGGAUUAGUGGCGAACGGGUGAGUAACACGUGAGUAACCUGCCCUUAACUCUGGGAUAAGCCUGGGCAACUAGGUCUAAUACCGGAUAGGAGCGCCUACCGCAUGGUGGGUGUUGGAGAGAUUUAUCGGUUUUGGAUGGACUCGCGGCCUAUCCGCUUGUUGGUGGGGUAAUGGCUCACGAAGGCGACGACGGGUAGCCGGCCUGAGAGGGUGACCGGCCACACUGGGACUGAGACAGGGCCCAGACGCCUACGGGAGGCAGCAGUGGGGAAUAUUGCACAAUGGGCGAAAGCCUGAUGCAGCGACGCCGCGUGAGGGAUGAAGGCCUUCGGGUUGUAAACCUCUUUCAGUAGGGAAGAAGCGAAAGUGACGGUACCUGCAGAAGAAGCACCGGCUAACUACGUG
rnacentral:rRNA from 1 species